CGAACGCUGGCGGCGUGCUUAACACAUGCAAGUCGAACGAGGUGAUUGAAAGCUUGCUUUGAGAACCGAGUGGCAAACGGGUGAGUAACGCGUAGACAACCUGCCGCAAAGAUGGGGACAACAGUCCGAAAGGACUGCUAAUACCGAAUGUUGUCAGAUUCCCGCAUGGGAGACUGAUUAAAGAUGGCCUCUACUUGUAAGCUAUCGCUUUGCGAUGGGUCUGCGUCUGAUUAGCUAGUUGGUGGGGUAACGGCCUACCAAGGCGACGAUCAGUAGCCGGUCUGAGAGGAUGAACGGCCACAUUGGAACUGAGACACGGUCCAGACUCCUACGGGAGGCAGCAGUGGGGAAUCUUCCGCAAUGGGCGAAAGCCUGACGGAGCAACGCCGCGUGAGUGAAGAAAGGGUUUCGGCUCGUAAAGCUCUGUUGACGGGGACGAAUGUGCGAAAUGCGAAUAGUUUUUCGCAAUGACGGUACCCGUCGAGGAAGCCACGGCUAACUACGUGCCAGCAGCAGC
rnacentral:rRNA from 1 species